rnacentral:pre_miRNA from 1 species
UACAAUGUUUUGACUCUUCGUCUUAUUUGAAAUUUUUUUGCGAUUAAUAUUUUUAUUGUUACUAGAUGAAAAAAUAUAAAUAGUACUUUAAGCGUACUGUUUUUUAAAUUUUUUAUAAAAAGACGAAUGGUCAAACGUUUAGCACGAAGA